UCAGACCGAAAAUAUUCAGUUUGCAGCCAGAGCUCGUACGGAGCAGAGCUACUUUUAUUCGGCUUUAAACAUUCAAAAAAAAAAAAAUCAAAAUUUUAAGUGAACAAAAUGUGAAAUAAAAUUUCUUUUUCAAUUUGUAUAAAUUAUACAAGCAAAUUUUUAGUUAGUAGCUUUACUACUAAAUAAAACACUCGCUUCAGAAAACCAAAAAAAGUUUGUAAUGUAAAGCGAGACGUUUUAUUUCGUUUCUGGUUUUCGCAUCAUACAGACUUUUCCAUGUUUGGACAUUUUUAGUCUUAAAUAAUGUUCCCACAAGUUCUCUGGAGUUUUAGUUUAAUAGCGCCUGAGGAGGGUGUAUGGGGUAGAUUGUCCACAAUUUUUCACACAUUAUGCACAAUGGAACACUAAAUGGGUUCAUGUUUGGCUUCUAAUUAAGAGUUUGGAUUUCAAUUAACACUAUUUCGAUCUUUCGCUGCAUGUUAAAAUGUUGACAAUUACAAAAUGUUAACCAUCUGAUUUCACAAACUGGCGAUGGAACCCGUCUCGAUUUGACGCGCAGCCUGGCAUCUGGAUUUACGAUCGUUCUUUCAUUAGUUGUUACAAUCAUUAACAAAUAAAUGAGAACGAUCUCGAUAGAGCUUCUGGAAUGUA